AGUGAACGCUGGCGGUAUGCCUAACACAUGCCAGUCGAACGGCAGCACAGUAAGAUCUUGCUCUUACGGGUGGCGAGUGGCGGACGGGUGAGGAGUACAUCGGAAUCUACUUUUUCGUGGGGGAUAACGUAGGGAAACUUACGCUAAUACCGCAUACGACCUACGGCUUAAAUCAGUGGUUCUUGGCGCUUUUGCUGUUUGAUUUAGCUGGUGCCGGAUUAGCUAGUUGGGGGGGUAAGGGCCCACCAAGGCAACGAUCCGUAGCUGGUCUGAGAGGAUGAUCAGCCACACUGGAACUGAGACACGGUCCAGACUCCUACGGGAGGCAGCAGUGGGGAAUAUUGGACAAUGGGCGAAAGCCUGAUCCAGCCAUACCGCGUGGGUGAAGAAGGCCUUCGGGUUGUAAAGCCCUUUUGUUGGGAAAGAAAAGCAGCAGGUGAAUACACCGCUGUUCUGACGGUACCCAAAGAAUAAGCAACGGCUAACUUCGUG
rnacentral:rRNA from 1 species